CCCUUAGAUGUCCUGGGCUGCACGCGCGCUACACUGAUGUGUCCAGUAAGCACCUAACCUCUUCCGAAAGGAACGGGUAACCUUUGCAAAGCACAUCGUGAUGGGGAUAGAUUAUUGCAAUUAUUAGUCUUGAACGAGGAAUUCCUAGUAAGCACAAGUCAUCAGCUUGUGUUGAUUACGUCCCUGCCCUUUGUACACACCGCCCGUCGCUCCUACCGAUGGAAUGUUCCGGUGAGCUCUUCGGACUGCGCGGUCUGCAGUUUCUGCGUUCCGUGCGGAAAGUUGCGCAAACCUUAACAUUUAGAGGAAGGAGAAGUCGUAACA
rnacentral:rRNA from 1 species